UUACCAUAUGUCUAAGCUUGGUUCAUGACGUUUUGGAUAUGUCAAAAUCGACCAGCACUUACUGCUGGAGCCAUCUAUUGACAAAUAGCGGGAACUUAGUUGCGCACCUAAUAUAUCAAAAAGUGCCUUAGCCAAUUUCAGGACACUAACAGAAUUUGAGUGAGUAAAGUUAACGGAAAACUUCUGAAUAAAUACGACGAAAGGGCCGUUACUACCAUGUUUAUAGCGGUUAUCCUCAGUGCUGGGAAAUGACACACUCGAAAUAUUGACAGGGGAAUUGUCAUUCAAAGAAGACAGAGGAGCGUUGGGAAGGAGAAUAGGGGCAAGAGGAGGGUCAAGAACGGAAUCAAAGGAAGUCUUCAGAUCACUCUUAACUGAGGAGGAUAAAACAGGGAUGGGAAUAAGGGAAUGAGGAAUUUUAGGGAAAGAGAUCGGAGAAUUAACUCUGAUAUCAGACGUAAUACAUGGGCCAGAAGAAGCUUUCUUGAUAGCACCACUGUAAGGAUUAAUAUUAGGAGUGCUUAACCUUUUCCUAAAUCUUUCGAUCGUCUUAAUCAGAGAAGGAUCACAUUUGAUAUCAGCAACAGAUAGAUUUAUCGGAAUACCAGAGGUAGAAGCAGUUGGCUGUAUACUUCCCAAAUCAGCGAAUAGCUCCUCAUAGGAUGAUAAAGAUUAAGUAUCCAUUACGUCAUGAAUCAAGACUUGGUCGACAGCCGCCUUAUGUAUAUCCUUUCCAGAAUCAGUCUUCGUGUUACUCUGUCCUUGCUGGGACGAGAGAUCGUCCGAGUCCAUCAUAAGAGGUGAGAAGCGGGCGAUAAUAUAAACAACCGGAACACGUGAUAUAUGCGUGCACAGUAUAUAAGCACGAUGAACAAUAGGUGAUACUAAGUACACAAAAAAAGCACAGACCGAGUUUAAGCCAAAAACCGAAUCAUGUGAGCACCAUGUGCACGAUAGACAAAGAGUGCGCAGAAAUGCGAAAGUGAAAGAAACGGAUUAAAUCAAUCAUCACAAAAGAAUAAGAGAACAGAAAUCAAACAAUUCCAGAGACAAAGCCAGGUCGAAAACCAGUAUUCAAAUAAAAAGUCCGAAAGAAAAACACAAAAAGGUAGAUCUCCCAAACGAAAAAGGUGAGAGGCAACUACACGCGAUGCACACCAGACGGCGGCCGAAAGCCAACUCCACGUCCGAAGUUAUGGUUCCUGCACACAGGACGCGGUAAUGCUUGCCGCGCGGUGGAAGUUCGCACGUAUAGAAAAGGCGCAGAUUAUGUCGUUUUCAUCAACACGUCCUCAGAAUUCAACAGCAGUGACAGCGAUGCUCUGUCCGAGGAAGCGAUUUCUUGAGAAAAAAUUUGGAAAGAAGCUUAUUCUUCAUCAAGUUAAGCGCGUUAUAUCCGUUGACACCAAGUUUAAAUACAAUGAGUGACAGUCGAUCAGAUCGCUGCUUUCGUCUUAGGUGUACGCUGAGGUAUUUCUAUUGUUGGUUGAAGAAACCUUCGCUAGAUAUCAUAAUUCGGGGGACAUGCUGUAAAAGAUAAUCAACAAAUCUCACAUCAAACGCACCAAUUUAUGAAUUGCUGCUAUGAAUGCCAGUUUUUGCUUUUCUACAUUUAAAAGAUGCCACAAAGUUUUAUGGAUCUUUUAUUUUUUUAAGUCCUAUUCUUUUUGGCAAGUUUAUUUUAUUCUU